rnacentral:tRNA from 1 species
GUGCUCGUAGCUCAAUUGGAUAGAGCGCUGCCCUCCGAAGGCAGAGGCUGUGGGUUCAAGUCCCGCCGGGCAUA